rnacentral:rRNA from 1 species
AGCGAACGCUAGCGGCGGGCCUAACACAUGCAAGUCGAGCGGGGGAGCAAUCCCCAGCGGCGGACGGGUGAGUAACACGUAGGUUAUGUGCCCUUUGGUGGGGAAUAACCGUGGGAAACCAUGGCUAAUUCCGCAUAUCGAGCGAAAUCUUGAAAGCCUUCGGGCGCCAAAGGAGCAACCUGCGGCCCAUUAGCUUGUUGGUAGGGUAACGGCCUACCAAGGCGAUGAUGGGUAGCUGGUCUGAGAGGAUGAUCAGCCACACUGGAACUGAGACACGGUCCAAACUCCUACGGGAGGCAGCAGUGGGGAAUAUUGCGCAAUGGGCGAAAGCCUGACGCAGCCACGCCGCGUGAGUGAUGAAGGCCUUCGGGUCGGUAAAACUACUGUCGGGAGGGGACGGAAGGGGCGAACCCCUCGACGGUACCGUCGCAAGAAGACACCGGCUAACUCUGUGCCAGCAGCCGCGGUAAU